rnacentral:rRNA from 1 species
CCUACGGGAGGCAGCAGUGGGGAAUAUUGGGCAAUGGAGGCAACUCUGACCCAGCAACGCCGCGUGAGCGAUGAAGGUCUUCGGAUUGUAAAGCUCUUUAAGCGGGGACGAAGAAAGUGACUGUACGCGCAGAAUAAGCCUCGGCUAACUAUGUGCCAGCAGCCGCGGUAAUACGUAGGGCGCAAGCGUUAUCCGGAUUGACUGGGCGUAAGGGGUGCGUAGGUGGUUUGGCAAGUGGGUAGCGUAAUCCCGGGGCUCAACCGCGAUGCUGCUACCAAAACUGUGGAACUUGAGUGCAGGAGAGGUGAGUGGAAUUCCCAGUGUAGCGGUGGAAUGCGUAGAUAUUGGGAAGAACACC